AGUGAACGCUGGCGGUAGGCCUAACACAUGCAAGUCGAACGGCAGCACAGUAAGAGCUUGCUCUUACGGGUGGCGAGUGGCGGACGGGUGAGGAAUACAUCGGAAUCUACUUUUUCGUGGGGGAUAACGUAGGGAAACUUACGCUAAUACCGCAUACGACCUACGGGUGAAAGCAGGGGAUCUUCGGACCUUGCGCGAUUGAAUGAGCCGAUGUCGGAUUAGCUAGUUGGCGGGGUAAAGGCCCACCAAGGCGACGAUCCGUAGCUGGACUGAGAGGAUGGUCAGCCACACUGGAACUGAGACACGGUCCAGACUCCUACGGGAGGCAGCAGUGGGGAAUAUUGGACAAUGGGCGCAAGCCUGAUCCAGCCAUACCGCGUGGGUGAAGAAGGCCUUCGGGUUGUAAAGCCCUUUUGUUGGGAAAGAAAAGCAGCAGGUUAAUACCCCGCUGUUCUGACGGUACCCAAAGAAUAAGCACCGGCUAACUUCGUG
rnacentral:rRNA from 1 species